GACGAACGCUGGCGGCGUGCUUAACACAUGCAAGUCGAACGGAAAGGCCUGUCCUUCCUUGUGUUGGACGGGUACUCGAGUGGCGAACGGGUGAGUAACACGUGAGUGAUCUGCCCCCAACUUGGGUAUAAGCCUGGGAAACUGGGUCUAAUUCCCGAUAGGACUGCAGGGUGGUGCCUGUGGUGGAAAACGAUUUUCUAGUGGUUGGGGAUGAGCUCGCGGCCUAUCAGCUUGUUGGUGGGGUAAUGGCCUACCAAGGCGGCGACGGGUAGCCGGCCUGAGAGGGUGGACGGCAACAUUGGGACUGAGAGACGGCCCAGACUCCUACGGGAGGCAGCAGUGGGGAAUGUUGCACAAUGGGCGGAAGCCUGAUGCAGCGACGCCGCGUGGGUGAUGACGGCCUUCGGGUUGUAAACUCCUUUCGACCGCGAGGAAGCCGCCUGGUUGGAAGGGUGGUGACGGUAGUGGUAGAAGAAGCACCGGCUAACUACGUG
rnacentral:rRNA from 1 species